rnacentral:rRNA from 1 species
CCCUUAGAUGUUCUGGGCCGCACACGCGCUACACUGAAGGAGGCAGCGUGUACUCCUGGAUCGAAAGAUUUGGGUAACCCGCGAAUCUCCUUCGUGCUAGGGAUUGAGGUUUGCAAUUAUCCUUCAUGAACGAGGAAUUCCCAGUAAGUGCAAGUCAUAAGCUUGCGCUGACUACGUCCCUGUCCUUUGUACACACCGCCCGUCGCUACUACCGAUUGAAUGAUUUAGUGAGGACUUCGGACUGGGACCGAUGCGGCUUUCGGGCUGCGUCGGUAUUCUGGAAAGAUGUCCAAACUGUNUNAUUUAUNGGAAGUAAAANUCGUANCA